GAUGAAGAACGCAGCGAAAUGCGAUACUUUGUGUGAAUUGCAGAAUCCCGUGAACCAUCGAGUCUUUGAACGCAAGUUGCGCCCGAAGCCAUUAGGCCGAGGGCACGUCUGCCUGGGCGUCACACAACGUUGCCCCCCCAAACCUCGACUUCCAAGAGGACGGGGGGCGGAUGCUGGCCUCCCGUGUGCCACGGCUCGCGGUUGGCCUAAAUGCGAGUACUCGGCGACGAGCGCCGCGGCAAUCGGUGGUUGCGAAACCUCGGUUGCCCGUCGUGUGCGUUCGUCGCGCAUCGAGGGCUCGAAAAAAUGCUCGGCUCCGGCUGGGCUUUCAACGCGACCCCAGGUCAGGCGGGGUUACCCGCUGAAUUUAAGCAUAUCAAUAAGCGGAGGA
rnacentral:misc_RNA from 1 species